GGCAUUUUGGCCGAGUGGUCUAAGGCGCCGUGUUCAGGUGGAUGAAGAGGGUGGGUCGCAUCACUCUCUCCACUUCACUCGCGGUCUAGUAAUAGGCGAGGGUUCGAAUCCCUCAGAUGUCA